UGGGACUGUAUGCAUGUAUGUUGGCACC
rnacentral:piRNA from 1 species